rnacentral:lncRNA from 1 species
CUCUAGUUAAAUUGCAAUUCCACAAUAUAUUUGAGCUGGACAACAAUAAACCUGUCAAUUUUUUUCUUCAAUUUUGAAUCUGUCAAUCCCUUUCGUUCUUCAAUUUUGAAUAUUUCAAUACAUCAAAUUGCAGUUCUACAAUAUAUUUGAUUUCUCUAAUCAAUCCUGCUUCUUCUUCAACUUUUAAUUACAGAAACAAUAGCUACCCAUUUAAUUCCUUCCAUUAUUUUUCGAAAAUUUUGUCUACAAUUUCGUUUGGUGUUAGAGUUCAGUGAAUUCAUGGCUGUCAAAAAAUUUCGUCCUAUGACCAAAGAUUAAUCGUCAGACACUUACUUGAGAUGUAUAGAUGAAAAGAGGCGUCUUCUUCAGUUGGGCGUGGUGGUUGCUUCGCGGCGGUGGUAGAUUGGAGCAACAUUUGAACAUUUUUGAUGUUGACACUUCUUCUUCUUCACCGAUUUUGCAGCUGGUCAGAGACGAAGAUGAUUUUGAUGGUGUUAUCUCGCCGUCGUUAAUGGAGAAAGGUGGAUAUGGGAAUGGAGAGGGUGGGAAGGGUUUUGAAUUUGAGGGAGAAAUGUGAGAAGACAAAUAAGGGCUGCCCCAUUUCCAUUCUAUCAUUUUUCCCUUUUUUUUUUAAUUCUUG